UUUUUGCAUGUACCUUAUGAAUAAGGACCGGCUAAUUCCGUGCCAGCAGCCGCGGUAAUACGGAAGGUCCGGGCGUUAUCCGGAUUUAUUGGGUUUAAAGGGAGCGUAGGCCGGAGAUUAAGCGUGUUGUGAAAUGUAGAUGCUCAACAUCUGCACUGCAGCGCGAACUGGUUUCCUUGAGUACGCACAAAGUGGGCGGAAUUCGUGGUGUAGCGGUGAAAUGCUUAGAUAUCACGAAGAACUCCGAUUGCGAAGGCAGCUCACUGGAGCGCAACUGACGCUGAAGCUCGAAAGUGCGGGUAUCGAACAGGAUUAGAUACCCUGGUAGUCCGCACGGUAAACGAUGGAUGCCCGCUGUUGGUCUGAAUAGGUCAGCGGCCAAGCGAAAGCAUUAAGCAUCCCACCUGGGGAGUACGCCGGCAACGGUGAAACUCAAAGGAAUUGACGGGGGCCCGCACAAGCGGAGGAACAUGUGGUUUAAUUCGAUGAUACGCGAGGAACCUUACCCGGGCUUGAAUUGCAGAGGAAGGAUUUGGAGACAAUGACGCCCUUCGGGGUCUCUGUGAAGGUGCUGCAUGGUUGUCGUCAGCUCGUGCCGUGAGGUGUCGGCUUAAGUGCCAUAACGAGCGCAACCCCUCUCCUUAGUUGCCAUCAGGUUAAGCUGGGCACUCUGGGGACACUGCCACCGUAAGGUGUGAGGAAGGUGGGGAUGACGUCAAAUCAGCACGGCCCUUACGUCCGGGGCUACACACGUGUUACAAUGGCAGGUACAGAGAGAUGGUGUUCUGCAAAGCGCAUCUAAUCCUUAAAGCCUGUCUCAGUUCGGACUGGGGUCUGCAACCCGACCCCACGAAGCUGGAUUCGCUAGUAAUCGCGCAUCAGCCAUGGCGCGGUGAAUACGUUCCCGGGCCUUGUACACACCGCCCGUCAAGCCAUGAAAGCCGGGGGCGCCUAAAGUCCGUGACCGUAAGGAGCGGCCUAGGGCGAAACUGGUAAUUGGGGCUAAGUCGUAACAAGGUAGCCGUACCGGAAGGUGCGGCUGGAACACCUCCUUUCUGGAG
rnacentral:rRNA from 1 species